CCUACGGGUGGCUGCAGUCGGGAAUUUUGGGCAAUGGGGGCAACCCUGACCCAGCAACGCCGCGUGAGCGAUGAAGGCCUUCGGGUCGUAAAGCUCUGUCGGGAGGGAAGAAGGCUCUCGGGGUGAACAAUCCCGGGGGCUUGACGGUACCUCCAAAGGAAGCGCCGGCUAACUCCGUGCCAGCAGCCGCGGUAAUACGGAGGGCGCAAGCGUUGUUCGCAAUCACUGGGCUUACAUGUCAAGUCGGCGGGCCUAACCCCGGAACUGCACUCGAAACUGCCUCGCUCGAGUCUCGGAGAGGGUGGUGGAAUUCCCGGUGUAGGGGUGAAAUACGUAGAUAUCGGGAGGAACACCAGCGGCGAAGGCGGCCACCUGGACGAUGACUGACGCUGAGACGCGAAAGCGUGGGGAGCAAACAGGAUUAGAUACCCCAGUAGUC
rnacentral:rRNA from 1 species